CUACUAUAUUAACCUGCAACAAACAUCUUUUUUCUCCUAAUUUUGAUUUUUUUUCUGGAUUAACGAUGGGCUGACACGUUUACUUUAGACUGUUUGAUUUCCACAUAUGUUUUUCUAUGUGUACGUUCGAUGUUCCGUACGAUUUUUACAAAGUCUGUGCACAGUAGUAUGCAGUUCUUCCCCAUCCUUAAACGCGUGGCUGUAGCCUUGCCCAGAUAGUCAAAGCGGUGCCCAUGCCGCAGAAGAUUGCAUCGAUUCGCGAGCGAACCAGCCAAUUUGCCUGCUUCUCUUCCACUCCUCUCUUCCAUCUUCUUCUUUUCUCCCGAUGGCCGCCACGCCGGCCUGCUCCCCUUCCGCCCUACGCAGGCGCCCUCUCUAUUUUCCAUCAGCAGCGGCCGUGCCAUGACAUCGGGGCGGGGCGUGCGUCGUGACCUAGGGAGCCAGCUGUGGUGGAGGCCACUCCGUCGGCGUGGAGGCAGGCCGGAAAGCAGGAAGAGGGCCACACCUCCUCUAUUCCUCAUCAGCAGUCGGCUGCGUCCGCGCCAUGGCAUCGGGUUGAGGGGCGCGCCGAUCUGCGUGUGGCUCGACCUCGGGAGGCAACUGUGGUGGCGGCGACGCCGAGGGCAUGGAGGCGGGCCGGCAAGCAGGGAAAGGGGAGGCUAGAUACAACCGCCUCGACGACGGGUCCAUCCACGACCGAUGACCAACCACCAGCGUCUAGAUGCGCAGCUUUCCUACUCUUUUCUCCAAGCUGUGGCUAGCUUGCUCCUCUCCGUUGAGUACCACGCCGCCUUCAUCGCCAGGGAGGGCGUCGCGCCGGAUGUGUGCUCGGCCCCCACUGUCUCACACCCGAGCAUGGCGACGGACGCGCGCGUGGGGUCAGCGGCCAGGCUGGAGUGGCACUGGGUAAGCUCGAUGCCAGGAAACGUCGGUGGCUGACGCUGAACGGGUGAGCCGGGCGUUCUCGCCGCUGGAGGCGGCAGCCGGCUGGAGGUGUUCGUGAUCCGAUGGCCGACAGUUGUGGGGGAUCGAUAAGGUGGAGAUGGUCAGAUGGACUCCUCACAGCAGACGAGGAGGGGCUGCUGGGAGGAAAUCGCCUCCACAAUCCCAGUCAGACUCCACCGAUCCACCUACCUCGAACCGCGCCCGCCCUGAAUGCCUCAUCCAAGCUCACCAUCGGUGAUGAGACCAGCACCGCUGCCGCUUCACCGCCAGUGUUCUUGCAGGAGGGCCUCGCCCAUGCCGACGCACACGCCCGUCAUCCCGUGCCCCUCGCCGUCACAGCUCUUUCCAUCUGAGCGAGCCGACUCUGCUCUUUCCAAAGAACCUGCAAUUUCGAGUUCUGUACCAUCUUGUGAAGGCCCCUGUAUACACCUACAUGCACUGCAAUCUGAAGCGACGCGGUCCUUCUCUUUCCAAGGAGCU